rnacentral:tRNA from 1 species
UCCCAUAUGGUCUAGUGGUUAGGAUUCGGCGCUCUCACCGCCGCGGCCCGGGUUCGAUUCCCGGUGUGAGAA